rnacentral:lncRNA from 12 species
UUUUCUCACAAUGUUUUCUCACAAUGACUUAUGGUAUGUGUGAAAGACAAAAUGUUCUAGAAAAUUUAGAAGAUUUUGCAAUGAAGGGAUAAUUAAUGAGGAACUUCUCGAAGAAAUGGAAGGAGGUCUGUGGGUUUAUAGAAGCAAGACAAGAAAUUCAUUCAUGAGUUUAUGGAAGUUAUAAGGAAAAAUGAAGAUAGUUUAUCUGAGUCAUUGCAAAAGGGUAGAGGUGAGCAAUUAACUCAGAAUAUAUACAAGCACUAUGAUUCCAUGAGGUUAGCAGCUUCUUAGGGUAAAAAGAAUAGGCAGUUUGAUUUCUCAACCAUGCUGUUUUCCUGGUCCACAGGACUUAGGUAAUGUUCAAUAUUAAGUUGCAGAUAAUGCUAUGUUAAAAAAUAGAGCAAUUCCACAAUAAAUAAAUCUGUAAAUAAAUAAUGAAAUAAGUAAUAAUCUAUCCAUUAUUCUUCACUUUAAAUCAUAUUAUCAUACAAAAAAAUCAUAUCAUUACACAUCUUCAACAUCAUGAACUUUCAUAACAUCGAUUAACAUGUAACUUUUGAUAGUGGAUAAUAUGUAAGUACUGAAAUCCAAAUGCAUUUUCAUUUAUUUUUGGUUACAGCUAAUAUUCAUGGCACUAAGAAUUAACUAAUUAAAUGAUUGUAUUUUUUGAAGAGUUACAGAAAUAUAUACUGUGAAUAUAGGAAUGAUUCUUAGAUUUGUACAAUGACAUAGUUAUAUAUUCCAAAGCCUAGAACUUAUUGCAAAUAUGCAAAUUAUUUCUAUGAUGUAAUAGAUAUCAACCCACACCAUGAGCACUGUGGAAAUAGGACAUGGGACAAAAUAAGAGGUGUAUUUCUCUCUCCAAAUAUGUGGAAAUUUAGGAAGACAAUGCCCUUUUCAGUGUGGAUAUAAUUGCUCCCAUGUAUUUUCACAAUGGGAUUUUGCUGCUCUAGAUGGGGUGGGAUUCUCUUAUUUGAAUCUGGCCUGGACAAAUGGUUUGCUUUACCAAUUGAAUAUGAAAAAAGAGAUGCUACACAAAUUCCAGGUGGAGGUGUCAAGAAGCUUUGUAGUUUUUCCCCAUUCCUAUCCCCAGAACACUACCUUGAGAUCUCUAGUGGGGGAAACUGGCCUGGAAGUUGGAAAAAUUCAAAGACUGCCUGGUAUUUGCUUGCAUACAACAUAGACCUAGACUAUAAGAUCUAUGAGAAAAGCUGCUUGGCUUCCACCCAGUCACCUUGCAACUGUAGGAGUAUGACCAGUUCCAGAAAAGAGCAUCUUAUCAUUGAGCCACAGAGGCAGUGCUUCUUCCACUUUGUUUUAUUAAAUUAUCAUUGA